GACGUAGGAAGCGAGCGUUAUCCGGAUUUACUGGGCGUAAAGCGUGUGUAGGCGGUUUGACAAGUUGGAUGUGAAAGCUCCUGGCUUAACUGGGAGAGGUCGUUCAAAACUGUCAGACUUGAGAGUGGUAGAGGGAGGUGGAAUUCCGGGUGUAGUGGUGAAAUGCGUAGAUAUCCGGAGGAACACCAGUGGCGAAAGCGGCCUCCUGGCCCAUUUCUGACGCUCAGACACGAAAGCUAAGGUAGCAAACGGG
rnacentral:rRNA from 1 species